rfam:Myotis davidii contig177055, whole genome shotgun sequence.
AUCACUUCUCAGCCUUUUGGCUAAGAUCAAGUGUAGUAUCUGUUCUUAUCAGUUUAAUAAAAACCUUAUAUGACAAACAUACAGCCAACAUAUACUCAAU